CCAAUAGCGUAUAUUAAAGUUGUUGCAGUUAAAAAGCUCGUAGUUGAAUUUCGGGGUUAGUAGGUUGGUCAUGCCUCCGGUAUGUACUGGUCUCACUGAUUCCUCCUUCCUGAUGAACCGUAAUGCCAUUAAUUUGGUGUUGCGGGGAAUUUGGACUGUUACUUUGAAAAAAUUAGAGUGUUUAAAGCAAGCUAACGCUUGAAUACAUUAGCAUGGAAUAAUGAAAUAGGACGUUCGAUCCUAUUUUGUUGGUUUCUAGGAUUGACGUAAUGAUUAAUAGGGAUAGUUGGGGGCAUUAGUAUUCAAUUGUCAGAGGUGAAAUUCUUGGAUUUAUUGAAGACUAACUACUGCGAAAGCAUUUGCCAAGGAUGUUUUCAUUAAUCAAGAACGAAAGUUAGGGGAUCGAAGACGAUCAGAUACCGUCGUAGUCUUAACCAUAAACUAUGCCGACUAGGGAUCGGAUGAUGUUAAUUUUUUAAUGACUCAUUCGGCACCUUACG
rnacentral:rRNA from 1 species